rnacentral:lncRNA from 1 species
CAGCUGCAGUACUUUGGCCCAAAUUACAGAGGAUGCCAAAUGACAGGCAGUUGUGGCUAUGUAAUUCUGGUCAGAGUCUCCCACUCCUAAUUGCCUGCAGUUUCAAAGGAAACCAUUAUUUACUCCUUUCAGAUGCUGGAGUGGCAGAGCCAGCAGGCGAGCAGAGUUUCAAGUUGCAAAAACCGGGAUUGGUGCCUUCCAAGAACAAAAGCAUAUUUGCUUGGGGCUAAUGAUGUUUCUUCAAGGCAUUGGGUAAAGAGAUCAAAGAGCCAUCAGGAAAAAAAUUGAGUUGAAAGUCAGCUAGAAGGCACCUAAAG